UACGAAGGGGGCUAGCGUUGCUCGGAAUUACUGGGCGUAAAGGGCGCGUAGGCGGACAGCUUAGUCAGAGGUGAAAGCCCAGGGCUCAACCUUGGAACUGCCUUUGAUACUGGCUGUCUUGAGUUUGGGAGAGGUGUGUGGAACUCCGAGUGUAGAGGUGAAAUUCGUAGAUAUUCGGAAGAACACCAGUGGCGAAGGCGACACACUGGCCCAAUACUGACGCUGAGGCGCGAAAGCGUGGGGAGCAAACAGGAUUAGAUACCCUGGUAGUCCACGCCGUAAACGAUGAGUGCUAGUUGUCGGCAUGCAUGCAUGUCGGUGACGCAGCUAACGCAUUAAGCACUCCGCCUGGGGAGUACGGUCGCAAGAUUAAA
rnacentral:rRNA from 1 species